rnacentral:rRNA from 1 species
UUCUGGCUCAGGAUGAACGCUGGCGGCGUGCCUAACACAUGCAAGUCGAACGGAAACUAGGCGCUUCGGAGGCUUCGGCCAAUGUUUGCUUAGUUUUAGUGGCGGACGGGUGAGUAACGCGUGGAUAACCUGCCUCAUACAGGGGGAUAACAGUUAGAAAUGACUGCUAAUACCGCAUAAGCGCACGGAAACGCAUGUUUCUGUGUGAAAAACUCCGGUGGUAUGAGAUGGAUCCGCGUCUGAUUAGCUAGUUGGCGGGGUAACAGCCCACCAAGGCGACGAUCAGUAGCCGGCCUGAGAGGGUGAACGGCCACAUUGGGACUGAGACACGGCCCAAACUCCUACGGGAGGCAGCAGUGGGGGAUAUUGCACAAUGGGGGAAACCCUGAUGCAAGCGACGCCGCGUGAGUGAAGAAGUAUUUCGGUAUGUAAAGCUCUAUCAGCAGGGAAGAUAAUGACGGUACCUGACUAAGAAGCACCGGCUAAAUACGUGCCAGCCGCGGC